CCGGAUGGUCUAGGGGUGUGAUUUUCGCUUCGGGUGCGAGAGAUCCCAGGUUCGAAUCCCGGUUCGG
rnacentral:tRNA from 1 species